UACGUAGGCAGCGAGCGUUGUUCGGAGUUACUGGGCGUAAAGGGUGUGUAGGUGGCGCGCUAAGUCGGGUGUGAAAUUUCGGAGCUUAACUCCGAAACUGCAUUCGAUACUGGCGUGCUUGAGGACUGGAGAGGAGACUGGAAUUCAUGGUGUAGCAGUGAAAUGCGUAGAGAUCAUGAGGAAGACCAGUGGCGAAGGCGGGUCUCUGGACAGUUCCUGACACUGAGACACGAAGGCCAGGGGAGCAAACGGG
rnacentral:rRNA from 1 species